rnacentral:rRNA from 1 species
AGCGAACGCUGGCGGCAGGCCUAACACAUGCAAGUCGAACGGACCCUUCGGGGUUAGCGGCGGACGGGUGAGUAACACGUGGGAACGUGCCCUUUGGUUCGGAACAACUCAGGGAAACUUGAGCUAAUACCGAAUGUGCCCUUCGGGGGAAAGAUUUAUCGCCAUUGGAGCGGCCCGCGUCUGAUUAGCUUGUUGGUGAGGUAAUGGCUCACCAAGGCGACGAUCAGUAGCUGGUCUGAGAGGAUGAUCAGCCACAUUGGGACUGAGACACGGCCCAAACUCCUACGGGAGGCAGCAGUGGGGAAUCUUGCGCAAUGGGCGAAAGCCUGACGCAGCCAUGCCGCGUGAAUGAUGAAGGUCUUAGGAUUGUAAAAUUCUUUCACCGGGGACGAUAAUGACGGUACCCGGAGAAGAAGCCCCGGCUAACUUCGUGCCAGCCGCCGCGGUAAUAU